rnacentral:rRNA from 1 species
AAACUUAAAGGAAUUGACGGGGACCCGCACAAGCGGUGGAACAUGUGGUUUAAUUCGACGCAAAGCGAAAAACCUCACCAAGGUUUGACAUACCAAUCGUAUCCCUAAGAAACUAGGGAGUCAGUUCGGCUGGAUUGGAUACAGGUGUUGCAUGGCUGUCGUCAGCUCGUGUCGUGAGAUGUCGGGUUAAGUCCUUUAACGAGCGCAACCCUCAUUGCAUGUUAAUUUUUCAUGCGAGACUGCCCUGGUUAACAGGGAGGAAGGUGGGGAUGACGUCAAGUCAGCAUGGCCCUUACACCUUGGGCUACACACGUGUUACAAUGGCCGGUACAAUAAGUCGCAAUACCGCAAGGUGGAGCUAAUCUAUGAAAACCGGUCCCAGUUCGGAUUGGGGGCUGAAACUCGCCCCCAUGAAGUUGGAAUCGCUAGUAACCGUGAAUCAGCACGUCACGGUGAAUACGUUCCCGGGUCUU